rnacentral:rRNA from 1 species
UACAGAGGUCUCAAGCGUUGUUCGGAUUCAUUGGGCGUAAAGGGUGCGUAGGCGGCGCGGCAAGUCGGGUGUGAAAUCCUGGAGCUCAACUCCAGAACUGCCUUCGAUACUGGCGAUCUCGAGUUCGGGAGAGGUGAGUGGAACUGCGAGUGUAGAGGUGAAAUUCGUAGAUAUUCGCAAGAACACCAGUGGCGAAGGCGGCUCACUGGCCCGAUACUGACGCUGAGGUGCGAAAGCGUGGGGAGCAAACAGG